UUUACAGAUGACAAUGAUGCUCGUAUGGCAUUGAAUUUGCAGUGGGGAGUUAUCCCCAUCCUUGUAGAUUUGUCAGAUGACAUGGAAUCCAACAUAUCCAAAACCACUGAUCUUAUAAAAUCUAAAGGCAUGAUGAAAGAUGGAAGCUCUGUCUUGAUAGUCUCAGAUCUCACUCCAUCUUGUGCAACCCGAACUGCCUUCCAGUCAACCCAGGUGAAGACCAU
rnacentral:misc_RNA from 1 species